rnacentral:snRNA from 1 species
GGAUGUGAGAGUGAUCUGGCUGUGACAUCUGUCACCCCACUGAUCACCAGGGUUGGUUCAGCUGAUCUGGCUGGCUAGGCGGGUGUCCCCUUCCUCCCUCAGUGCUCCAUGUGCGUCCCUCCUGGUGCUGCACGCUCAAAGAGGACAACCGUCCCCAAUAGAGGAGGACCUUUCUUCAGUCAAGGGGAUGUGAGUUAGCUGCGCUCCCCUGCUAGAACCUCCAAAUAAGCUCAAGAAAUUAAAAAAAACAAGAACAAAAUAAACCCAAAGCAAAGGAAGGAAAUAAUAAAGAGCAAUUA